rfam:Crassostrea gigas strain 05x7-T-G4-1.051#20 contig15925, whole genome shotgun sequence.
GAGCACAUGGCUUAGUGGUCAUAGGCGUUAGGCUAGUAACCGAAGAGUUGCUGGUUUUAACCCUGCUCUGGUUA